rnacentral:rRNA from 1 species
AGUCGAACGAGAGAGAAGGAGCUUGCUUCUUCGAUUGAGCGGCGAACGGGUGAGUAACGCGUGAGGAACCUGCCUCAAAGAGGGGGACAACAGUUGGAAACGACUGCUAAUACCGCAUAAGCCCACGGGUCGGCAUCGACCUGAGGGAAAAGGAGCAAUCCGCUUUGAGAUGGCCUCGCGUCCGAUUAGCUAGUUGGUGAGGUAACGGCCCACCAAGGCGACGAUCGGUAGCCGGACUGAGAGGUUGAACGGCCACAUUGGGACUGAGACACGGCCCAGACUCCUACGGGAGGCAGCAGUGGGGAAUAUUGCACAAUGGGGGAAACCCUGAUGCAGCGACGCCGCGUGGAGGAAGAAGGUCUUCGGAUUGUAAACUCCUGUUGUUGAGGAAGAUAAUGACGGUACUCAACAAGGAAGUGACGGCUAACUACGUGCCAGCAGCCGCGGUAAAACGUAGGUCACAAGCGUUGUCCGGAAUUACUGGGUGUAAAGGGAGCGCAGGCGGGAAGACAAGUUGGAAGUGAAAUCUAUGGGCUCAACCCAUAAACUGCUUUCAAAACUGUUUUUCUUGAGUAGUGCAGAGGUAGGCGGAAUUCCCGGUGUAGCGGUGGAAUGCGUAGAUAUCGGGAGGAACACCAGUGGCGAAGGCGGCCUACUGGGCACCAACUGACGCUGAGGCUCGAAAGUGUGGGUAGCAAACAGGAUUAGAUACCCUGGUAGUCCACACCGUAAACGAUGAUUACUAGGUGUUGGAGGAUUGACCCCUUCAGUGCCGCAGUUAACACAAUAAGUAAUCCACCUGGGGAGUACGACCGCAAGG